AGGGAUCAGAAUCCAAUUACUAAACAGAAUCAGAAUUCUGAUUCUGAGUUUAUGUGAUGGAACAGCACACAUGGAAGGAGAAAGCAAGAGACAACACACAAUGCAUCCAUUAACCUCGGAAUAGCCACGGAAAAAUGUACUGGACCAGGUUAACUCUCCUGUACAGGAGGAAAUCAAAGAGAAUUCAGUUCUGAAGACAUGAAGCUAACUUCAGAGAGAGACACAUCGUGAUGAUACUGUGAACAAACAGAACCAAUAAACAUCCUUAAAAUGACUGCUGCGAGGCUUUUCUCCUCCCAGAGCUGCUGCCUGGUGGCCAGUUCAGAGCGAAUGGCGGGGAAGAGCGCUGCAGGUGUAUUUAUACAGGUUCGAAAGGAAAAACACCUAUUAUUAUUUGGUGCCGUGACCCGGAUCUCUCCUACCGACCGCUGUCAGGCAGAGGAAGACGCGCUGAAUCCGUCCACGGCCAGAGUCAACAGAACUUGGAAAGAAAGAACCAGGAGGCAAAAUGGGAGAGCUUACAGGUUGCCUCCGUUUGCUCCAGACUUGCAGAAAGCAGAUGAAGAACAAACAUUAGCAGAUUAUAUGAUCGGAACUCUUAAACUGAAGGAAGUGUCCAGUGCAAAUUUACUGCCUUCUGAUUCUCUUCCUCCGCAGGAGACCGCUCCCAUUGAGCCAGGAGACUGGGUCUACAUUAAAGUCAUCAAACGAAAGAACUGGACGAGUCCACGGUGGGAAGGACCAUUCCAGGUGCUGAUGACAACACCAACAGCUGUAAAGAUUGCUGAAAGACCCAGCUGGAUACAUCUCAGUCACUGCAAGCUGCAGAGAGUGUUGGACCGCUAAUUCUGAGUGGCGGGGAAAGCUGGCUAUACAGGGGUUCCUGACCAAUAGGGCAGUUCGUCUCAACGCCAGUGAAGAAACUCGACGCAUCCUCAAUCUUUUGUUUGGGGGUUUUGACAUCUCUGCGCGCCGAGCAGGAAUGGGGACUCCAUAUGCCAGAUGGAUCUUCUACUAUGCUGUGACUGCAGCAUGUCUGAUUUGGAGGAGGAAGUGACCUCACUUUCCACCCACAUUACUACAGCACCAACCUGUGGUGGCAGCUGAUGAACAGGACUGCUCAUGAGGAGAAAGAAGUGAAUUGCUAUGAGUGUGCGCAGCUGCCAAUUGCCGCACACAACUCAGGUCUGCGUGCAGGACACAUCACUGAUGGCAAACAGAUGUGUCUCUAUGGCCUGAGCACAUAACCACGACUCGGCGUGCCAAUGCGAAGGAUGCAAAUGGUGCAAAAAGCAUUAUUCUGUUCUACCUCGGACAGGAGAUGCCGCGAAAGGGCUUUUUGGAGCUAUGAACUGUUCCUUUAAUGCUGACGUACUUCCAUUUUCAUCGUUUCCACAAACCGCAUGGAAAAUACCAGAGACCAUUUCUUUAGCAGGAGCUAAACCCGGGUCUCUGAGGAGCUGCGUUUUCAACAAUGGACACGUUUCUCUUGGGAUGUUACCUUGGAAUUUGUGUAACAAAGGUUAUACAUCCUGCGAAACGACACCAGAUUACAUCAACUGCAUCGCCUGCAGGGGUCAGAGGGCGACCCCCGGCUGCAAAGUCUGGAAGGACAACCCAGACUGUGACAACUUGCUUCAGAAGAGGAGUUUCAACAUCACACAUCGGACAAGAGGACGACAGGAGACAACACUGCAACGCCAUAGUGCCAGGAGACUGUGGUUCAAGGGUGAUGGCUGACUGGUACUUCCUGUGUGGAAAUGGAGCUUACAUGGUCUUGCCAUGAUAUUGGGGAGGACUGUGUGCUUUGGUCCCCCUAAUCAGCCCAAUUGCAUUCUUCAGGAAAGGACAACACGUUUUAGCUGCCCGCUCCAAGCGCGCAGUUAUGCCGGAGGUCAAAUGAUGGGGAGGCCUCACGACAGAGACUGGAGUUCCUUGGGAGUUCAAGAUUUGGGGCAGGGGAGAAAAGUUUAUGCAAGGCCCAUUUCCAUGGGUCGGAGUAGGAGAGGUUCGAAGUCACGUUGAGAUCAACAGAUAUGGAUUAUUGCGACUCAUCAACAGCACACGCUAGCUGGCCAACGGCACCGUGAGAGCUGACUGGACUGAGAAGCUCCCAAGUUUACUUUGUAAAAGUUCAAAGAACAAUACUCAUAGUCAAGUUUGUUACCAUAGCAACCAUCUUAUGCUGUGAGUUUACUCUUUGAGUUUCAGCUCUAUUUGUUCACAAAUAUAAAUUAGUAAAC